ensembl:lncRNA
GUGAAACGGUACGUGUGUUUCUUGUGAAGGAAUUGGCGAGCCAGAACUAGAAGACGCCCCAGUAUUAUUUAGGUCUGCCAUCUGGGAAUAUUUCGUUUUUUCUGUAAACUAUAACACCAAUUGCCAAUGGAAGACGGAUAACCAUAUUCCCCGACUACACCACCAAUGGAAGACGGAUAACCAUAUUCCCCGACUACACCACCAAUGGAAGACGGAUAACCAUAUUCCCCGACUACACCACCAAUGGAAGACGGAUAACCAUAUUCCCUGACUACACCACCAAUGGAAGACGGAUAACCAUAUUCCCUGACUACACCACCAAUGGAAGACGGAUAACCAUAUUCCCCGACUACACCACCAAUGGAAGACAGAUAACCAUAUUCCCCGACUACACCACCAAUGGAAGACAGAUAACCAUAUUCCCCGACUACACCACCAAUGGAAGACGGAUAACCAUAUUCCCCGACUACACCACCAAUGGAAGACGGAUAACCAUAUUCCCCGACUACACCACCAAUGGAAGACGGAUAACCAUAUUCCCCGACUACACCACCAAUGCCGCCAAGGCCAAAGCUGCCUUCACAGAUGUGAGGAAGAUGCUGUGAGGAAGAUGCUACGAGGACGACGGGGGUUCGCUACGGUCUGCUCUUCCCUGCAAGAUUGCGGAUUUCAUACAAAAAUGAGGAGGAGGAAUUUCUGGAUCCCGUAAAGGAUUUGGAAUAUGUUCAGAAGAAGGUCAUACCUGAGACGGAAAAGUAGGCUAAUGGAAUAAACUCCCUCUACCCACACAAAUAAUAAUAAUAAGCACAUGCAAACAUAAACAGUAAAACACUUUGAAUGAUGACAUGUUGUUAUAUUUAACAUAACCAGCCACAACGAUUUCACGCCUGAAGGAACUUGGAUAUUAUUAUGGAUGUUAUUCGGGAUACAAAAUGAAUGUGGAGAAAACAGAAACAAGAAUCAGGCUUAAAACAUUGCAGCUACCAAAGCCGGUUGGAGGCUUAAACUUUCUAGCCUCAGAUAUUUCUUUUGGGCUGCACAGAUGAGGCCCUUGAUACUGUGGACUCAGAAUAGCAUGUACACACGCUUGCUCAAUAUUGAAAAAAGGUGUUAUGAGAAAUGUCUGUUGAGGAAGAGUGGAAGGGUAUUCGAUGAAGAGGUGUGUCUGGCCCCACCAAGUCUCCAACACACCCUUGGUGAUGUUGAUCAGGGGUCCUGGGAAACAUUUGCUUCUCCAAAGAUCUGGAACACCAGGUAUGGGCCAUCAGCCCAGCCUUCCUGAGCUCACCUGGAGAGGUGUGAAACUCUGAUCAAACUGGAGUGUAAAUAAAUGCAUGAUAUUGUGGACAUGUAUCUGUAGUGUUUAGAUUUUCCCUGUUCCCCAUAAAGGGCAGAAUAGACUGAUAUGCUUUAUUGUACUGUAUGGGUUAUGGGUCAAACUUCACAAGAACAUUGUAGAAUUGAUUGUCCUUGCUGCAUGUCAGACAACAACUGACGGCAACGCCCCGUUCAUUCAAUAGUUUUGCAUUGAUUAAGUGGGACAGUUCCUGUCCUUUGUCUUCGUUGUAUUUGCCAAGGUAAAGUAAUGCUAAUGACUAUUUGGGGGUGUGUUUUAGAUAUGUCUGAUUUUAGGAUAAAUAGCCAUGUCUCCCAAUUUUUUCUUGUUAAAGAGACCUCCCAACAUGUUGUGUUGUAGUCAUAUUCAGGAGUCUAUCUUCAACAGAAGCUCCUUGCAUACCUUUGUGCUAUAGUGUCUUUAAUCCCUAUGGUAUAAUUAGUACACUGUUAGGCUAGUUGGGAGGACAUUGAAUCGUGUUGGUAUGUAAUAAUGUUUUGUAUAGUAACUUUAUUACCUGAUUGGAAUAAAUUGUGCUACUUUGGAAUACAGAUUACUAGGGCAUUCCUCGUUCAUCUCCAUACUGAAGCUCGUAGGGCUACUGGUAAUUACACACACAUUAGUAAGUCUAAGAGACCAGACUUGGAGUCCCUGAGUCCUGGAAUUCUGAAAGCAGUUUGGUUAGACCCAGGAACACUUGACUUUUGAGUUAUUCCUGAGUCGUUGGGCAUAAUUAACUUUCUGUUAGACCCAGGAACACACACCAUUUUACUGUAUGGUUCAUGUUAAACCACCUACACAUUAUGGGUGAUUAUGAUAACUGAUAGAGGCACAUACACACACAUAAAUCAAAGUGACCAG